rnacentral:lncRNA from 1 species
UAGUUUGCGGCCCCUUCUCUCUUGUCCAGUUCUCAGAGCUUUGUUGUUGGAAUCUGAAGGGAUAUGAAGUGUUGAUAGCAAGCUACGUGUCCGCUGUCAGCGUAGAUAGAUUAAACAAGGGAAAGGUUGGCUUGCUGGUCCGGUAAAUCUGAAGUAAAUUUUGUAACACCUGGUUAGAUUGUCUGGUUUCCUGGUAAAUAGUGGAUUGUGCAGUCAGAGACACACCGUCUUGUAGUACUUACUGUAAACUAAGGUUAAACUGUAACACUGGAUUCUACCGCACAGUUUCUGUAUCUUAAACUUGUGAAAUUGCUUGCACGGAAUUUGAAAUUACUGAAUUUGACAGGCAUACUCCAGAGUGAGAGGUUGGCUCUUGUAUAAUGCCAGCUUAACCCAGGACAGACAGCGGUAAGUUGUCCGGCUCGUUGGUGGCAACUGCAUACCUGGGUCCUGAACACCUCCGCCUGGGGCGUGGUCUUUCAGAAGGCCCCGUGCAUAUGCUGUAUCCUUGGAGCAAGAUCGAUUCUCUUGAGGCCGUUUUGCCUGCACAUGUUUUUCUCUUUUCUUUUCCAAUUAGCACAUGCGUUCUAUCUAUGUUUGUGGCUUCCGUGGGUAGUUUCAGCUAGAUCGUUCUGAACUCCCAGAUGCCCAUAGCCAGAACAUAUAUAGUUCGAAAAAGGAAGAAAAAAAAUGACAGGCGUAUGCUGCCCAAAAAUAAGCGCUCCCAAGAUAUUGGUGGCACGCCACAGUUCAAGGUGGCCAACCAAACGUUGGUGGCCAGAAAGAAAAAGACCGCCUCUGUGUUUGCUCUCUUUGCUGGCUGCUAUCCACAUUGGGAUCUCGAAUUCACCUUGGAUUUCGUAGCGUAGAACAAGGCUCCGUUCGUCCGUCAAGCAUCCUCUGUCGCAGGUGAAUUGGCUCUAAAUGUCUCCGUCUGUUCUGCUGGAUUCCGGCUACCAGAUAAGGCGGCAAGGAAUGUUGAGAUUCCUUUGAUCUCCUCUCAAUUGUCUGUUCUGCUGGCUAAACAUGAAGUUUCCAACGCAGGAUGAUCUAAUAGCUGUGAGUUCUUGGUGGCAUCGAUCACACUGAGAAGGAUUCAAAGGGAAAAACGCAAUUGAAAUAAAGUUUCACCACACGAAACCUAAGCGAGAAGCCGAUGGCAAGCACCGAUGAUCCGAAGAACGAGCCGUCGUCCUCUUGGUCCAUUUUUAAUUGGAACAAUAAAGUGGGUNNNNNNNNNNNNNNNNNNNNNNNNNNNNNNNNNNNNNNNNNNNNNNNNNNNNNNNNNNNNNNNNNNNNNNNNNNNNNNNNNNNNNNNNNNNNNNNNNNNNNNNNNNNNNNNNNNNNNNNNNNNNNNNNNNNNNNNNNNNNNNNNNNNNNNNNNNNNNNNNNNNNNNNNNNNNNNNNNNNNNNNNNNNNNNNNNNNNNNNNNNNNNNNNNNNNNNNNNNNNNNNNNNNNNNNNNNNNNNNNNNNNNNNNNNNNNNNNNNNNNNNNNNNNNNNNNNNNNNNNNNNNNNNNNNNNNNNNNNNNNNNNNNNNNNNNNNNNNNNNNNNNNNNNNNNNNNNNNNNNNNNNNNNNNNNNNNNNNNNNNNNNNNNNNNNNNNNNNNNNNNNNNNNNNNNNNNNNNNNNNNNNNNNNNNNNNNNNNNNNNNNNNAUGUGAACUACUAUCUGCUACCAGAGCCGGAGGUCGAGCAACCGAGAAUGAGAAGCACCCAAGAGAUCCUCACAAAAUAUAAAUUCAACGGGGUAUUAUAUUUCUUCACCUUUGAAUUUUGCAUGUACCCCUAUAUUGCUUGUCUCUUGCUGAUUUAGCUAGUAGCUGUAAAUUGCGCUCCAGGAUGCUGCCGCGGCAGCGGCGCACGCAAAGGAUAAGCUCAUGGAGCGGCAGGAGAAACUCGCGGUAAAACGAUUUGGUUCCUUCUGUUGUUCAAUCGACGCCAAGAGAGUAAGGUAAAUCUGAUAUCCUGUUUCUUGGAUGCCAGAAAAUGGUUGAAGAAUCCGCAGAGUUUGAGAGCGAGGCGGAAAACUUUGCCACCCUCGGUCAGCAGAUCAGGAAAUCCCUGGAGACCAAGAGAUGGUGGUGGCCAUCGUGAUUCAUAACCAAUCAUCUGGUCUUCGAGCGUGUGAUGUAGUGUCAAAAACGCCUUAUAUAUUAUGAAACGGAGGGAGUAAUACCAAUGCGUUUAGCAUGCCUGGCUGCUGCACUGGUCUGCGCGUGCUAAAUGAAACGAGAGCAAGACGUUGCCUUUUAGCAACAAGUGGGAAUGAUUGUGGACGGAUACAUGUAUCUACUCCUACUACUUAGUUUUAAUUCCGUGAUCGCGAUGGCUGACGACCGUGCGAUUAACUUCUCACCCGCCAGCGCCAUACAUGUACUAUUCCUUUUAGUCUCAUAAUAUAAGACGUUUUGUAUUAUUAGUAUAGUGUUAAAAAAGUCUUACAUUAUUGGACGCAGGAAGUAGCUCUUAUCGUGGACGGAUAAAUGGUACGAGGAGGCAUAUUUUGCUUGCGGGCUGAAUGGUGCUAAGAGAAGACACGGGUGGCGUGUGCCAGCCAUCGGUUGGAGGCUUCUCCGGUUGGACCGUCUAUUGAUGAGGUUAGGCUGCUUGCUAGUUCCCUUUUCCACUUGCUAUGUCGCCUCUCCAGUUCCUAAACUAGUAUGACCCCGUGAUCUCUGUGGUCUGAGAAUGGACCGUCCUAUAAACAGAGACAGGAGCCUCUAGUGUAGCAUCAACUAACUAUCCGGUAGUUGUACUUCACGUAGCAUAGAGUUAGCUGAUGGUGCGUGGGUGAUAUGGUUGAGUGGUGGCACGAGGACCUCGUGGCCUCCUGCCGGCCACACCCGCAGCCGCGGUUCCCAGCAAUUUCCUUUUAUUAGCCCGUGUGUUUAGUGGGAGGACUUUCCAGGUCCUUAUCGGACAAAGUGGUUAACCAACGCAAAGCAGCCCGUGCGCCGGCCAUGGACCAACACCAACACGGUGCGUGCUGACGCUACCUUCUGCUCCGUCCAGGGGAAAAGAGAGGAGCAAACAUCAGCGACCGCUCUAGGACAGAGUACCACUCUUAUCUUUUAACCAGUUGACUGAUCAUGUGUGUGGCGGUAGUCAGUAGUACUCCAUGCUAGCUCGGGCGCCACCUAGUUGCGAACCCAAGCGUGACACACAGGCACUGCCACAUCAAUCUCCCGUGCAAAUAUCCGAGCCGUCCAACGCCACCGGCCCCGUGGGAGCUUGAGACCUCCUUCAAUGCAUUGGUGCUAAGGUGAAGUGCUAAAUGCAUUAAAAAACUUAGCAACUACUCUUCAAACCAAUGGCCGACCAAGAUUUUGCUAAACCUGUUGCAUUUGUGCUUAGCUUUUGUAGCUACAUUUGAACCUGUUGCAUUUAGCUAAACUUUUGCAUGUCAACUUUUCUUUGAACCAAUGACCACAGAGGGAGGCUUAGCUACAAAAGCUAAGCACCAACGGCUGACAUUUGAACCUGUUGCAUUUAGCUAAAAUUUUGCAUGUCAAUUUUUCUUCGAACCAAUGGUCGACCAAGAUUUUGACCAUAGAGGGUGCCAACUUUCUCAUUCACAACAAAAAUGCCAGGUAUAACCAUAAAAGAAAUGUCAGUUUAUCACUCUAUCCUUAUAAUACAUACUCCCGCUGUCCCAAAUAAGUGUCUCAUACUUAGAGUUGUACUAAGCUUGAGACACUUAUUUUGAAACGGAGGGAGUAUAUGAUUAAACUAAGAGUACUAGAUAAAAAAAGAUUUGCAUUUUUUGAGGGAAUGCCAGAGCACCCACGAAACUCCCACGGGAUCCGACACUGCUCCGAACCCUUGAUGAAGAAGACCAAAUCUACACGAACUAGAUUAACUUCAUAAGUGUUGCAUUAGUUAUUCACACCAAUAGGCGAUAAUCUAAUAUUGUUGAAUGCACUAUUGCCUGGGACACACCCCUUGCAAGGCAGUGUCGAACCGUUGUUUCUUCGCCGUACUAUUUGGAAAGAAGAUUAUGACUCUCUUUGAUUCAUAGGAUUGUCAAAACACAUGAAUAUGAAAAAUACAGGAUUGGUCUCCUUUGGCUCACGGGAUAGAAAUAUCAUAAUUAUAGAAAAAGAGAUCUUAUAGAAAAAUCAUAGAAAGUGAGAUGACAUAUAUCUCAAUUUCUCUAUCUAAAGAGAUGUCAUUUGAUGCAUGUGAUAGUAUUUUCCCACUGAGUCUAGGCUAAGACCUUCUUUUCAAAGGAAAAUUUUCUUUGGAGCCAUUUGGUUUGUAGUAAUGGAUUUCUAUUCCUAUGUAGGAUAAAAACCAAUCCUUCACAUUUUAAAGAAAAAACAUUAGCCUAAACUCAAGGAAAAAAAUCUUAUCCUCUCCAUCAAAUGCCAUCUCUUUCCAUCUAUGAAUUGACAUACGAUCACCUCACUUCAUAUGCUUUUCCUAUUCCAAUGAUAUUCCCAUCCUAUGAAUCAAAGAAGGCCUAUUUUUCCCUUUCAAAGGUGAAGGAUAGGUUCUUAUCCUACAUAGAAAGAGGAAUCCAUUUCUACAAACCAAAGAGCUCCAAAGAAAAAUUUCCUACAAAAUUCCUAUCCUUUAUGAUUCCUAGAAAAUUCAUGUAAACCAAAGGACUCCUUCGAGUUGCAUGCCCACUUGAACUCUAUAGGGUUAGUAGAGAGUGUUUGAUGCCAUAGGAAAAACAAAGAAAUUAUAAAAAGAGGUUGGAGUGAAUGUUAGAUUUCCUACGAAAUAUAGUACACAUGGUUCUUUAGAAAAAAAUCCAUACGAUUUAUAGGAUUUAAUCCUAUGAAUCAAACGACCAACUUAGAAAAAAUUCUUAAUGAUUCUAACCAUCCAAAAAUCCUAGGGAAUUUAUCUGAAUCGAAGCAGCCCUAGGAGCGCAAAAAAGGCAAAGACAAAGCUCACAAGGAAGAUAACUAGGAUAGUCACUGUUGGCACACCUGUCUAACUGAAGGAAAUAUGCCCUAGAGGCAAUAAUGAAGUUGUUAUUUUAUAUUUCCUUAUUCAUGAUAAAGGUUUAUUAUUCAUGCUAGAAUUGUAUUGAUCGGAAACCUUAAUACAUGUGUGAAUACAUAAACAAACACCGUGUCCCUAGUGAGCCUCUACUAGACUAGCUCGUUGAUCAAAGAUGGUUAAGGUUUCCUAACCAUUGACAUGAGUUGUCAUUUGAUAACGGGAUCAUAUCAUUAGGAGAAUGAUGUGAUGGACAAGACCCAUCCAUUAGCUUAACAUUAUGAUCGUUAAGUUUUAUCGCUAUUGCUUUCUUCAUGUCAAAUACAUAUUCCUUCGACUAUGAGAUUAUGCAACUCCCGGAUACCAGAGGAAUGCCUUGUGUGCUAUCAAAACAUCACAACGUAACUAGGUGAUUAUAAAGAUGCUCUACAGGUAUCUCCGAAGGUGUUUGUUGAGUUGGCAUAGAUCGAGAUUAGGAUUUGUCACUCCGAGUAUCAGAGAGAUAUCUUUGGGCCCUCUUGGUAAUACACAUCAUAAGCUUGCAAGCAAACGACUAAGGAGUUAGUCACGAGGUAAUGUAUUACCGAACAAGUAAAGAGACCUACCGGUAACGAGAUUGAACUAGGUAUGAAGAUACCGACGAUCAAAUCUCGGGCAAGUAACAUACCGACAGACAAAGGGAAUAACGUAUAUUGUCAUAACGGUUCGACCGGUAAAGAUCUUCAUAGAAUAUGUAGGAGCCAAUAUGGGCAUCCAGGUUCCGCUAUUGGUUAUUGACCGGAGAUGUGUCUCGGUCAUGUCUACAUAGUUCUCGAACCCGUGGGGUCCAAACACUUAACGUUCGAUGACGAUAUUGUAUUAUAUGAGUUAUGUUGACCGAAUGUUGUUCAGAGUCCCGGAUGAGAUCACAGAUAUGACGAGGAGUCUCGAAAUGGUCGAGAGAUAAAGAUUGAUAUAUAGGACGAUAGUAUUCGGACAACGAAAGUGUUCUGGAGGGUACCGGGUACAUAUCGGGUCACCGGAAGGGGUUCCGGGCACCCCCGGCAAAAGAUAUGGGCCUAAUGGGCCAAGAGGGGAAACGCACCAGCCACCAGGGGCUGGUGCCAUGGGGAGACCCCAAGUAGGAUUCAGCCUACUUGGGUGCCUCCUUGGCUGCCUCCCUCUCCCUCACACCUAUAUAUAUGGGGGGGGGGCUAGCACACACGCCCCCCUCCAUCGUUUUCUCCCACGGUCAUAUCUUCGUAGUGCUUAGGCGAAGCCCUGUGAGGAUCACUUCACCAUCACUGUCACCACGCCGUCGUGCUGACGGAACUCAUCUACUACCUCGACGUCUUGCUGGAUCAAGAAGGCAAGGGACGUCACCGAGCUGAACGUGUGCAGGAACACGGAGGUGCCGUGCGUCCGGUACUUGAUUGGUUGAAGCGCGAAGAAGUUCGACUACAUCAAGCGCGUUGAGAAACGCUUCCGCUUACGGUCUACUAGGGUACGUAGACACACUCUCCCCCUCGUUGCUAUGCAUCUCCAUGGAUAGAUCAUUACGUGUGCGUAGAUUUUUUUUUUGUUUUCCAUGCAAUGUUUCCCAAUAGUGGCAUCAUGAGCCAGGUCUAUGCGUAGAUGAUAUGCACGAGUAGAACACAAAGAGUUGUGGGCGGUGAUAGUCAUACUACUUACCACCAACGUCUUAUCUUGAUUUGACGGUAUUGUGGGAUGAAGCGGCCCCGACCAACCUUACAUGUCCACGCACAUGAGAUCCCCGUUUACUAGGAAGAUAAGAAUCAAAAGGAUCGAACUACCUACUCAUUAUUCGGAGGUGACCGGUUUCACCGACAGACAUGCAACUAGUUUUGCAUAAAGGUGGCUGGCAGGUGUCUGUUUAUCCUACUUUAGUUGAAUCGAAUUUGACUGCGGCCGGUCCUUGAAGAAGGUUAAAACAUCAAACUUGACGAAACACCGUUGUGGUUUGAUGCGUAGGUAAGAACGGUUCUUGCUAGUAGCCCGUAGCAGCCACGUAAAAGUUGCAACAACAAAGUAGAGGAUGUCUAACUUGUUUUUGCAGGGCAUGUUGUGAUGUGAUAUGGUCAAGACAUAAUGUGAUAUACGUUAUUGUAUGAGAUGAUCAUGUUUUGUAAAAGUUAUCGGCAACCGACAGAAGCCUUAUGGUUGUCUUUUUAUUGUAUGAAAUGCAAACACCAUGUAAUUGAUUUACUUUAUCACUAUGCGUUAGCGAUAGUUGUAGAAGCAAUAGUUGGCGAGACGACCACGACGCAACGAUGGAGAUCAAGGUGUCGAGUCGGUGACAAUGGAGAUCAUGACGAUGCUUUGGAGAUGGAGAUCAAAAGCACAAGAUGACGAUGGCUAUAUCAUGUCACAUAUUUUGAUUGCAUAUGAUGUUUAUCUUUUAUGCAUCUUAUUUUGCUUAGCACGGCGGUAGCAUUAUAAGAUGAUCCCUUUACUAAAUUUCAAGGUAAAAGUGUUCUCGCUGAGUAUGCACCGUUGCUACAGUUCGUUGUGUUGAGUAAUACGUCUCCGUCGUAUCUAUAAUUUUUGAUUGUUUCAUGCCAAUAUUAUACAACUUUCACAUAUUUUUGGUAACUUUUUAUAUGAUUUAUUGGAUUAACUUAUUGAUCUAGUGCCCAGUGCCGGUGCCAGUUCCUGUUUUUUGCAUGUUUUUUGUAUCAUAGAAUAUCCAUAUCAAACGAAGUCCAAAUGCAAUAAAAUUUUACGGAGAAUUAUUUUGGAAUAUUUGUGAUUUUUGGGAGCUGGAAUCACCGCAAACAGAGGCCCACACAGCCCACAAGACACCAGGGCGCGGCCCCGGAGCCAGGCACGUGGUGGUGGGUUGUGCUCACCUCGUACGUCGGUUGGAGCUCUACUUCGGGCGCAAGGAAGCUUAUAUCCGAAAAAAAUCAUGUUAAAAUCUCAGCGCAAUCGGAGUUACGAAUCUCCGGGAAUAUAAAAAACGGUUUUUGGCCAGAUCUGAGGAACGCAAAACAGAAGGGAACAGUGAGAUAGAUCCAAUCUCGGAGGGGCUCUGCCCCUCCGCCGCCAUGGAGGCCAUGGACCAGAGGGGGAACUCUCCUCCCAUCUAGGGGGAGGCCAAGGAAUAAGAAGAAGGAGGGGGGCUCUCUCCCGGUGGCAUCGAAACUCCGCCGGGGCAAGGAUCGUGACGGCGAUCUACAUCAACAAUCUUGCUACCGUCAACACCAACUUUCUCCCCCUCUAUGCAGCGGUGUAACCUCCCUUCUCCCUGCUAUAAUCUCUACUUAAACAUGGUGCUCAACUCCAUAUAUUAUUUCCCAAUGAUAUGUGGUUAUCCUAUGAUGUUUGAGUAGAUCCGUUUUGUCCCGUGGGUUAAUCGUGAUCUUGGUUGGUAUGAUUGCAUAUUUUAUUUAUGGUGCUGUCCUACGGUGCCCUCUGUCUCGCGCAAACGGAGGGAUCCUCGUUGUAGGGUGUUGCAAUACGUUCAUGAUUCGCUUAUGGUGGGUUGCGAGAGUGAUAGAAGCUUAAACCCGAGUAGGUGGGUUGUUGCGUAUGUGAUAAAGAGGACUUGAUACUUAAUGCUAUGGUUGGGUUUCACGACCUUAAUGAUCUUUAGUAGUUGCGGAUGCUUACUAGGGGUCCAAUCAUAAGUGCAUAUGAUCCAAGUAGAGAAGGUAUGUUAGCUCAUGCCUCUCCCUCAUAUAAAAUUACAAGAAUGAUUACCGGUACUUGUUAUCGAUUGCCUAGGGACAAAUGACUUUCUUGUUGACAAAAGCUAUCCACUUUUAUUACCUUGCAAUUUACUCGUAGUUUUAUUCUCGCAAAGUACUCGUAGUUUUAUUCUUGCAAAAUAGUUUCAUACUUGUUUUAGGUAAAGGAAACGUCAGGUGUGCGUAGAGUCGUUUCGGUGGUCGAUAGAACUUGAGGGAAUAUUUGUUCUACCUUUAGCUCCUCGUUGGGUUCAACACUCUUAUUUAUCAAAGAAGGCUACAAACGAUCCCUUAUACUUGUGGGUUAUCAAGACGUUUUUCUGGCGCCGUUGCCGGGGAGCAAUAGCGUGGGGUGAAUAUUCUUGUGUGUGCUUGUUUGGUUUAUCACUAAGUAGUUUUUAUUUUCUGUUCUAAGUUGUUAUCUAUCUUUAGUUAUAGAUAUGGACCAUGAAACACCAAAAAAAUUAGUUGUACUUGCUACUCAUGGAGAUGGGGGACCUCCUAAAACCCUCGAUACUCAUUAUGUGAAAGAUAUUAUGCACUAUUUUGAUAAUUCUGAGAAAACCCCAUUCAACUAUAUAAUGGGAGUAACGUUGGAUCAACGUGGAUACUUUAGGGAUUAUCGCUUGACUCAUAAAGGGAAAUUGUUAUGGGAUCAAAUUCAUAUGUUGCAUUGGUAUGCUCGGGACCUAUUCUUGAGAUAUGAUUAUACUUCUUGCUCUAGGAUGAAGGCUCCACACCUUCCCUUUACAUGUGAAUUUAACGAUAAUGAAACCUUAGCUUCUAAUGCUAAUGGUAGAUAUGAUUACUAUGAUGUGGAACAAAUAGAAUAAUUUGUUGCUUUUAAGGGUGCUUAUGAAAUUGAAUCUUUGUUUGAAAAGUUUGAAGAUUUUGAUGAUUCAGUUUAUAGACCUGAAAAUUUUGCUAUCCUUAAAUAUUGCUAUGAUAAUUAUAAAUUUAAUUACGAUAUUGAUGUAUUUAUUGAGAAAGUCUCCGCUUUCCAAGAAGAGACUGAUAUUUUGCAGGAGUCUAUGGAAGACGAAAUUGAUGAAACUGCGAGCUCAUUGGAUGAAAAAGAUGGUGAGGAGAGCGAAGAACAAAAGGAGGAAAAGCGGAUUAGCUACCCAUGCCCACCUUCUAAUGAGAGUAAACCUCCAACUCAUACAUUGUUUACUGUCCCUUCGUUCUUACCGAAGGAUGAAUGCUAUGAUAAUUGCUAUGAUCCCGUUGAUUCAUUUGAAAUAUCCCUUUCUGAUGAACUUGAUGCUUGUGGCCAUGAUGCCAAUAUGAAUUAUGCUUAUGGAGAUGAACUUGCUAUCGUUCCUUAUAUUAAGAAUGAAAUUGUUGCUAUUGCACCCACACAUGAUAGUGCUAUUAUCUUUUUGAAUUCUCCAAACUACACUAUAUCGGAGAAGUUUGCACUUAUUAAGGAUUACAUUGAUGGGUUGCCUUUUACCGUUGCACAUGAUGAUUUUGAUGAAUGUAAUAUGCAUGUGCUUGCUGAUCCUACUUGAAAUUAUUAUGAGAGAUGAACUACAUCUCCGCCUCUCUAUGUUUACAACACGAUAAAGUUGCAAGAAACUGCUUAUACUAUGCACUGGCCUUUACUUGAUGUGCACGAAUUGUUCCUUUAUGACAUGCCGAUGCAUAGGAAGAGAGUUAGACUUCGUCAUUGCAUGAUAUAUGUUGCUUUGUUCUCACUACAAAAUGCCAAAUCAUUGUUAAUUAAAAUUGGAUUUGAUAUACCUUGGGAUCCGGGUGGAUCCACCACUUGAGCUCUUUAUGCCUAGCUUAAUGGCUUUAAAGAAAGCGCUGUCAGGGAGACAACCCGGAAGUUUUAGAGAGUCAUUUAUUUCCGUUGAGUGCUUUUAUAAAGUUUAAAAACAAAAAAAAUAUAGAGGGGAACUUAAAACUUCACAAAAAGGAAAGUGAAAGUGACAGAGACGAGCAUUGUUGAAGUGGGGGAGCUCCUUGAACUUUGUUCAUGCCCAUGGAAACUUUGUGAAUCUCAACUACAGAAACUUGUCAAGAAAAAUAAUUAUCCCCUUGUACAAAUCCCUUGUAUUGUAAAAUUAUUGUGCCAAGGUUUGCCUUUAGGAUGAUUAGAUUGCUUGUUGGUAUGUGCGGUGCAGAAACAGAAACUUUGGCUGUAGCGCGUGAAUUUUCAUAUUUUACUGGAAUGUCAAAAGGUUCUGAAACUUUUUGCACACUAUUUCUAUAAAAAUUGUUUAUGUUGUCCUAAUUUUUCAGAAUUUUUGGAGUUACAGAAGUAUGGUAAUGUUCAGAUUACUACAGACUGUCCUGUUUAAGACAGAUUCUGUUUUUGAUGCAUUGUUUUGCUUGUUUUGAUGAAACUAUCGAUUUCUAUCAGUGGAUUAAGCCAUGAAAAAUUUAUAUUACAGUAGCUACAAUGCAAAAACAAAGUAUGAAUUGGUUUGCAACAGUACUUAGAGUAGUGAUUUGCUUUAUUAUACUAACGGAUCUUACCGAGCUUUCUGUUGAGUUUUGUGUGGGUGAAGUGAUCAAAGAUCGGGGAGGUCCCGAUAUGAGGAGAAGGAGGAGAGGAAAGAGCUCAAGCUUGGGGAUGCCCAAGGCACCCCAAGUAAAUAUUCAAGGAGACUCAAGCGUCUAAGCUUGGGGAUGCCCCGGAAGGCAUCCCAUCUUUCUUCAACAAGUAUCGGUAUGUUUUCGUUCUCGUUUCGUUCAUGUGAUAUGUGUGAAUCUUGGAGUGUCUUUUGUGUUUAUUUUUCACUUUUAUUUUAUGCACCAUGCUGGUAUGAGAUAGUCCAUGGUUGAUUUAUAGAAUGCUCAUUGCACUUUACUUAUAUCUUUUGAGUAUGGCUUUAUAGAAUGCUUCAGGUGCUUCACUUAUAUCAUUUGAAGUUUGGAUUGCCUGUUUCUCUUCAAAUAGAAAACCGUUGUUCGUAUAAUGCUCUUUUGCUUCACUUCUACUUGUUAGAGCAUGGUCUUUUGUAGAAAGAAUUAAACUCUCCUGCUUCACUUAUAUCUAUUUAGAGAGUCAACAGGAAUUGGUCAUUUGCAUGGUUAGUCAUGAAAUCCUACAUAAAACUGAUGGAUCACUGAAUAUGAUAUGCUUGAUUCCUUGCAAUAGUUUUGCGAUAUAGAGAUGGAAUAUGCGGGAGGUACUAGUAAACGGUUGUGGUUAGUAAUAAUAUUGGUGUUAAGGUUUGUGAUUCCCGAAGCAUGCACGUACAGUCUCUCAUUAUGCUAUGAUGUUGGAGCAUGAUUUAUUAUUGAUUGUCUUCCUUAUGAGUGGCGGUCGGGGACGAGCAAUGGUCUUUUCCUACCAAUCUAUCCCCCUAGGGGCAUGCGUAGUAGUACUUUGCUUCGAGGGCUAAUAAACUUUUGCAAUAACUAUGUGAGUUCUUUAUGACUAAUGUGAGUCCAUGGAUUAUACGCACUCUUACCUUUUCGCAAUUUGCUAGCCUCUACGGUACCGUGCAUUGCCCUUUCUCACCUCGAGAGUCGGUGCAAACUUCGCUGGUGCAUCCAAACCCCGUGAUAUGAUACGCUCUAUCACACAUAAGCCUUAUUAUAUCUUCCUCAAAACAGCCACCAUACCUACCUAUUAUGGCUUUUCCAUGGACAUUCCGAGAUAUAUUGCCAUGCAACUUCCACCGCUUCCAUUUUGAUGACCUGAGCAUUCAUUGUCAUAUUGCUUUGCAUGAUCAUAUACUGACAUAGUAGUUGUGGCUCAGCCACCAUUCAUCAUUUUUAUACAUGUUACGCUAGAUCAUUGCACAUCCUGGUACAUUGCCAGAGGCAUUCAUAUAGAGUCAUACUUUGUCAUAGGUAUCAAGUUGUAAUUUUUAUUUCUUUUGAGUUAUAAGUAAAUAGAAGUGUGAUGAUCAUCAUUAUUCAUUUUUAGAGCAGUGCCCCAGUGAGGAAAGGAUGAUGGAGACUAUGAUACCCCCACAAGUCGGGAUGAGACUCCGGACAAUGAGAGAAAAAGAAAAAGGAAAAAAGAAAAAAGAGAAAAAAGAAAGAAAGAAAAAGAAAGAAAAAAAAAGAAAAAAAAUAAACAAAGAGAGAAGGGGCAUUGUUAGUAUCCUUUACCACACUUGUGCUUCAAAGUAGCACCAUGUUUUUCAUAUUGAGAGUCUCCUAUGUUGUCACUUUCAUAUACUAGUGGGAAUUUUUCAUUAUAGGAUUAGAUGCACACCCACUUAGUUUCAUAUUGAGCUUUCAUACACUUAUAGCUCUUAGUGCAUUCGUUGCAUGGCAAUCCCUACUCCUCACGUUGAUAUCGAUUGAUGGACAUCUCCAUAGGCCGUUGGUUAGCCGGAUCGAUGUGAGACUUUCUUACUUUUUUGUCUUCUAUAUAUUUACCCCUAUCAUCAUACUCUAUUCCAGCCAUAGUGCUAUACCCAUGGCUUGCGCUCAUGUAUUGCGUGAGGGCUGAAAAAGCUGAAGCGCGUUAAAAAGUAUGAACCAAUUGCUCGGCUUGUCAUCGGGGUUGUGCAUGAAAAAUACUUUGUGUUAAGAAGACAGAGCAUGACAAGACUCUAUGAUUUUGUAGGGAUAACUUUCUUUAGCGUUGAUAUUUUGAAAGACAUGAUUGUUUGUUGGGAUGACUGAGUAUUGAUGUCUUUAUGUCAAAUUAUAGACUAUUGCUUUGAAUCACUAUGUCUUAAUAUUCAUGCCAUGAUUAGAUAUAUGAUCAAGUUUAUGUUAGAGAGCAUUCCACAUAAAAAAUUAUCUUUUUUUUGUCAUUUACCUACUCGAGGACGAGCAGGAAUUAAGCUUGGGGAUGCUGAUACGUCUCCAUCAUAUCUAUAUUUUUUGUUUUUUCAUGCCAAUAUUAUACAACUUUCACAUAUUUUGGCAACUUUUUAUAUGAUUUAUUGUACUAACUUAUUGAUCCAGUGCCCAGUGCGAGUUCCUGUUUUUUGCAUGUUUUUUGUAUCGCAGAAUAUCCAUAUCAAACUAAGUCCAAAUGCAAUAAAAUUUUACGGAGAAUUAUUUUGGAAUAUUUGUGAUAUUUGGGAGCUGGAAUCACCGCAAACGGAGGCCCACACAGCCCACAAGACACCAGGGCGCGACUCUGGAGCCAGGCGCGUGGUGGUGGGUUGUGCUCACCUCGUACGUCGGUUGGAGCUCUACUUCGGGCGCAAGGAAGCUUAUAUCCUAAUAAAAUCAUGUUAAAAUCUCAGCGCAAUUGGAGUUACGGAUCUCCGGGAAUAUAAGAAACGGUUUUCGGCAGAUCUGAAGAACGCGAAACAGAAGGGAACAGAGAGAUAGAUCCAAUCUCGGAGGGGCUCCCGCCCCUCCGUCGCCAUGGAGGCCAUGGACCAGAGGGGGAACUCUCCUCCCGUCUAGGGGGAGGCCAAGGAAGAAGAAGAAGGAGGGGGGGCUCUCUCCCCCUCUCUCCCGGUGGUGCCGAAACGCCGUUGGGGCAAGGAUCGUGACGGCGAUCUACAUCAACAAUCUUGCUACCGUCAACACCAACUUUCUCCCCUCUAUGCAGCGGUGUAACCUCUCUUCUCCCCGCUACAAUAUCUACUUAAACAUGGCGCUCAACUCCAUAUAUUAUUUCCCAAUGAUAUGUGGUUAUCCUAUGAUGUUUGAGUAGAUCUGUUUUGUCCUGUGGGUUAAUCAUGAUCUUGGUUGGUAUGAUUGUAUAUUUUAUUUAUGAUGCUGUCCUACGGUGCCCUCCGUCUCGCGCAAACGGAGGGAUCCUCGUUGUAGGGUGUUGCAAUACGUUCAUGAUUCGCUUAUGGUGGGUUGCGAGAGUGACAGAAGCUUAAACCCGAAUAGGUGGGUUGUUGCGUAUGGGAUAAAGAGGACUUGAUACUUAAUGAUAUGGUUGGGUUUCACGACCUUAAUGAUCUUUAGUAGUUGCGGAUGCUUUCUAGGGGUCCAAUCAUAAGUGCAUAUGAUCCAAGUAGAGAAAGUAUGUUAGCUCAUGCCUCUCCCUCAUAUAAAAUUACAAGAAUGAUUACCGGUACUUGUUAUCGAUUGCCUAGGGACAAAUGACUUUCUUGUUUACAAAAGCUAUCCACUUUUAUUACCUUGCAAUUUACUUGUAGUUUUAUUCUCGCAAAGUACUCAUAGUUUUAUUCUUGCAAAAUAGUUUCAUACUUGUUUUAGGUAAAGCAAACGUCAAGUGUGCGCAGAGUUGUAUCGGUGGUCGAUAGAACUUGAGGGAAUAUUUGUUCUACUUUUAGCUCCUCGUUGGGUUCGACACUCUUAUUUAUCGAAGAAGGCUACAAACGAUCCGCUAUACUUGUGGGUUAUCAUUGAAACACCACGUGAUGAUCGGGUGUGAUAGACUCUACGUUCACAUACAACGGGUGCAAGACAAUUUUGCACAUACGGAAUACUUGGGUUAAACUUGACAAGCCUUGCAUGUACAGACAUGGCCUCAGAACAUUGGAGACCGAAAGGUCAAACGUGAAUCAUAUAGUAGAUAUGAUCAACAUAGAGAUGUUCACCAUUGAUGACUACCCCAUCUCACGUGAUGAUCGGACAUGGGUUGUUGAUUUGGAUCACAUAUCACUUAGAUGACUUGAGGGAUGUCUAUUUAAGUGGGAGUUCUUAAGUAAUAUGAUUAAUUGAACUUAAUUUAUCAUGAACUUAGUCCUGAUAGUAUUUGCAAAUCUAUGUUGUAGAUCAAUGGCUCGCGAUGUAGUUCCCCUAUAUUUUUUAUAUGUUCCUAGAGAAAACUAAGUUGAAAGACGUUAGUAGCAAUGAUGCGGACUGGGUCUGUGAUCUUAGGAUUAUCCUCAAUACUGCACAGAAGAAUUAUGUCCUUGAUGCACCGCUGGGGGAAAGACCUGUUGCAGGAGCAGAUGUUGAUGUUAUGAAUGUUUGGCAAGCUCGAUAUGAUGACUACUUGAUAGUUUAGUGCGCCAUGAUUUACGGCUUAGAACCGGGACUUCAAAAACAUUUUGAACGCCACGGAGCAUAUGAGAUGUUCCAAGAGAUGAAAAUUGGUAUUUCAGAUUCAUGCCCAUGUCGAGAGGUAUGAGACCUCUGACAAGUACUAUGCCUACAAUCGCUUGAAUCAAGUGGGAGUUAAUCUUCUAGAUAAGAUAGUGAUUGACAGAGUUCUCUAGUCACUAUCACUAAGCUACUAGAACUUAGUGAUGAACUAUAAUAUGCAAGGGAUGACAAAAACGAUUCCCGAGCUCUUCGCGAUGCUGAAAUCGGCGAAGGUAGAAAUCAAGAAAGAGCAUCAAGUGUUGAUAUUUAACAAGACCACUAGUUUCAAGAAAAAAGGGCAAGGGAAAGAAAGGGAACUUCAAGAAGAAUGGCAAGCAAGUUGCCGCUCCCAUGAAGAAGCCUAAAGCUGGACCCAAGCCUAAAACUGAGUGCCUCUACUGCAAAGGAAAUAGUCACUGGAAGCAGAACUACCCCAAAUACUUGGAGGAUAAGAAGGAUGGCAAAGUGAACAAAGGUAUAUUUGAUAUACAUGUUACUGAUGUGUACCUUACUAGUGUUCGUAGUAGCCCCUGGGUAUUUGAUACCGGUUCAGUUGCUAAGAUUACUAACUCGAAACAGGAGUUGCAGAAUAAACAGAGACUAGUUAAGGGUGAGGUGACGAUGUGUGUUGGAAGUGAUUGCAAGGUUGAUACGAUCACCAUCGCACACUCCCUCUACCUUCGGGAUUAGUGUUGAGCCUAAAUAAAUGUUAUUUGGUGUUUGCAUUGAGCAUGAAUAUGAUUUGAUCAUGUUUAUUGCAAUACAGUUAUUCAUUUAAGUCAGAGAAUAAUUGUUGUUCUGUUUACAUGAAUAAAACCUUCUAUGGCCAUACACCAAAUGUGAAUGAUUUAUUGAAUCUCGAUCGUAGUGAUACACAUAUUCAAAAUAUUGAUGCCAAAAGAUGCAAAGCUGAUAAUGAUAGUGCAACAUACUUGUGGCAUUGCUGUUUAGGUCAUAUUGGUGUAACGCGCAUGAAGAAACUCCAUGCGGAUGGACUUUUGGAAUCACUUGAUUAUGAAUCAUUUGAUACUUGCGAACCAUGCCUCAUGGGCAAGAUGACUAAAACUCCAUUCUCCAGAACAAUGGAGCGAGCUAAUGACUUAUUGGAAAUAAUACAUACCGAUGUAUGCGGUCCGAUGUGUAUUGAAGCAUGCGGCGGGUAUCAUUAUUUUCUGACCUUCACAGAUGAUUUUAGCAGAUAUGGGUAUAUCUGCUUAAUGAAACACAAGUCUAAAACAUUUGAAAAGUUCAAAGAAUUUCAGAGUGAAGUGGAGAAUCAUCGUAACAAGAAAAUAAAGUUUCUAUGAUCUGAUCACAGAGGCAAAUAUUUGAGUUACGAGUUUGGCCUUCAUUUAAAACAAUGUGGAAUAGUUUCACAACUCACGCCACCUGGAACACCACAUUGUAAUGGUGUGUCCGAACGUCAUAAUCGUACUUUAUUAGAUAUGGUGCGAUAUAUGAUGUCUCUUACCAAUUUACCACUAUCAUUUUGGGGUUAUGCAUUAGAGACAGCCGCAUUCACGUUAAAUAGGGCACCAUCUAAAUCCGUUGAGACGACAUCGUAUGAACUGUGGUUUGGAAAGAAACCUAAGCUGUUGUUUCUUAAAAGUUUGGGGAUGCGACGCUUGUGUCAAAAGGCUUCAGCCUGAUAAGCUCGAACCCAAAUCGAAGAACUGUGUCUUCAUAGGAUACCCUAAGGAAACAAUUGGGUACACCUUCUACCAGAGAUCCGAAGGCAAGAUCUUUGUUGCCAAGAAUGGAACAUUUUUAGAGAAGGAGUUUCUCUCGAAAGAAGUGAGUGGGAGGAAAGUAGAACUUGAUGAGGUAAUUGUACCUUCUCUCGAAUUGGAAAGUAGCACAUCAGAGAAAUCCAUUCUCGUGAUGCCUACACCAACUAGAGAGGAAGCUAAUGAUGAUCAUGAAACUUCAGAUCAAGUUACUACUGGACCUCGUAGGUCAAAUAGAGCAUGUUCCACACCAGAGUGGUACGGUAAUCCUGUUCUGGAAGUUAUGUUACUAGACCAUAGCGACCCUAUGAACUAUGAAGAAGCUACGAUGAGCCCAGAUUCCGAUAAAUGGCUUGAGGCCGUGAAAUCUGAGAUAGGAUCCAUGUAUGAGAACAAAGUGUGGACUUUGGUGGACUUGCCCGAUGAUCGGCGAGCCAAAGAGAAUAAAUGGAUCUUCAAGAAGAAGACUGACGCUGAUGGUAAUGUUACUGUCUACAAAGCUCGACUUGUCACCAAAGGUUUUCGACAAGUUCAAGGAGUUGACUACGAUGAGACCUUCUCACCUAUAGUGAUGCUUAAGUCUGUCCGAAUCAUGUUAGCAAUUGCCGCAUUUUAUAAAAUAUGGCAAAUGGAUGUCAAAACUGCAUUCCUUAAUGGAUUUCUUAAAGAAGAGUUGUAUAUGAUGCAACCAGAACGAUUUGUCGAUCCUAAAGGUGCUAACAAAGUGUGCAAGCUCCAGCGAUCCAUCUAUGGACUGGUGCAAGCAUCUCGGAGUUGGAAUAUAUGCUUUGAUGAGGUGAUCAAAGUAUAUGGUUUUAUACAGACUUUUGAUGAAGCCUGUAUUUAAAAGAAAGUGAGUGGGAGCUCUGUAGAAUUUCUGAUAUUAUAUGUGGAUGACAUAUUGCUGAUCGGAAAUAAUAUAAAAAUUCUGGAUAGCAUAAAAGGAUACUUGAAUAAGAUUUUUUCAAUGAAAGACCUCGGUGAAUCUGCUUACAUAUUAGGCAUCAAGAUCUAUAGAGAUAGAUCAAGACGCUUGAUAAGAUUUUCAGUGAGUACAUACCUUGACAGGUUUUUGAAGGAGUUCAAAAUGGAUUAGUCAAAGAAGGAGUUCUAGCCUGUAUUGUAAGGUGUGAAGUUGAGUAAGAAUCAAAGCCCGACCAUGGCAGAAGAUAGAGAGAGAGUGAAGGUCAUUCCCUAUGCCUCAGCCAUAGGUUCUAUAAAGUUUGCCAUGCUGUGUACCAGACCUAUUAUGUACCUUGCCAUGAGUUUGGCAACGGGGUACAAUAGUGAUCUAGGAGUAGAUCACUGGACAGCGAUCAAAAUUAUCCUUAGAGAACUAAGGAAAUAUUUUCUCGGUUAUGGAGGUGAUAAAGAGUUCGUCGUAAAGGGUUACGUUGAUGCAAGCUUUGACACCGAUUCAGAUGACUAUGAGUCUCAAUCUGGAUACAUAUUGAAAGUGGGAGCAAUUAGCUAGAGUAGCUCAAUGCAGAGCAUUGUAGACAUAGAAACUUGCAAAAUACAUAUGGAUCUGAAUGUGGCAGACCCGUUGACUAAACCUCUCUCACAAGCAAAACAUGAUCACACCUUAGUACUCUUUGGGUGUUAAUCACAGGGCGAUGUGAACUAGAUUAUUGACUCUAGUAAACUCUUUGGGUGUUAGUCACAUGGCGAUGUGAACUAUGGGUGUUAAUUACAUGAUGAUGUGAAUUAGAUUAUUGACUCUAGUGCAAGUGGGAGACUGAAGGAAAUAUGCCCUAUAGGCAAUAAUGAAGUUGUUAUUUUAUAUUUCCUUAUUCAUGAUAAAGGUUUAUUAUUCAAGCUAGAAUUGUAUUGAUCGGAAACCUUAAUACAUGUGUGAAUACAUAAACAAACACAGUGUCCGUAGUGAGUCUCUACUAGACUAGCUCGUUGAUCAAAGAUAGUUAAGGUUUCCUAACCAUUGACAUGAGUUGUCAUUUGAUAACGGGAUCACAUCAUUAGGAGAAUGAUGUGAUGGACAAGACCCAUCCGUUAGCUUAGCAUUAUGAUCGUUAAGUUUUAUUGCUAUUGCUUUCUUCAUGUCAAAUACAUACUCCUUCAACUAUGAGAUUAUGCAACUCCCGGAUACCAAAGGAAUGCCUUAUGUGCUAUAAAACGUCACAACGUAACUGGGUGAUUAUAAAGAUGCUCUACAUGUAUCUCCGAAGGUGUUUGUUGAGUUGGCAUAGAUUGAGAUUAGGAUUUGUCACUCCGAGUAUCAGAGAGGUAUCUCUGGGCCCUCUCAGUAAUACACAUCAUAAGCUUGCAAGAAAACGAAGGAGUUACUCAUGAGGUUAUGUAUUACGGAAUGACUAAAGAGACUCUGUAACGAGAUUGAGCUAGGUAUGAAGAUACCGACGAUCGAAUCUCGGGCAAGUAACAUACCGAUAAACAAAUGGAAUAACGUGUAUUGUCAUAACAGUUCGACCGGUAAAGAUCUUCGUAGAAUAUGUAGGAGCCAAUAUGUGCAUCCAGGUUUCGCUAUUGGUUAUUGACCGGGGAGGUGUCUCGGUCAUGUCUACAUAGUUCUCGAACCCGUAGGGUCUGCACGCUUAACGUUCGACGACGAUAUUGUAUUAUAUGAGUUAUGUGAUUUGGUGACCGAAUGUUGUUCGGAGUCCCGGAUGAGAUUGUAGACAUGAUGAGGAGUCUCGAAAUGGUCGAUAGGUAAAGAUUGAUAUAUAGGACGAUAGUAUUCGGACACCGGAAGUGUUCCGGAGGGUACCGGGUACAUAUCGGGUCACCGGAAGGGGUUCCGGGCACCCCCGGCAAAAGAUAUGGGCCUAAUGGGCCAAGAGGGGAAACACACCAUCCACCAGGGGCUGGUGCUGUGGGGAGACCCCAAGUAGGAUUCGGCCUACUUGGGAGCCUCCUUGGCUGCCUCCGUCUAACUGAAGGAAAUAUGCCCUAGAGGCAAUAAUGAAGUUGUUAUUUUAUAUGUCCUUAUUCAUGAUAAAAGUUUAUUAUUCAUGCUAGAAUUGUAUUGAUCGGAAACCUUAAUACAUGUGUGAAUACAUAAACAAACACCGUGUCCCUACUGAGCCUCUACUAGAUUAGCUCGUUGAUCAAAGAUGGUUAAGGUUUCCUAACCAUUGACAUGAGUUGUCAUUUGAUAACGGGAUCAUAUCAUUAGGAGAAUGAUGUGAUGGACAAGACCCAUCCGUUAGCUUAGCAUUAUGAUCGUUAAGUUUUAUCGCUAUUGCUUUCUUCAUGUCAAAUACAUAUUCCUUCGACUAUGAGAUUAUGCAACUCCCGGAUACCAGAGGAAUGCCUUGUGUGCUAUCAAAACAUCACAACGUAACUAGGUGAUUAUAAAGAUGCUCUACAGGUAUCUCCGAAGGUGUUUGUUGAGUUGGCAUAGAUCGAGAUUAGGAUUUGUCACUCCGAGUAUGGGAGAGAUAUCUUUGGGCCCUCUUGGUAAUACACAUCAUAAGCUUGCAAGCAAACGACUAAGGAGUUAGUCACGAGGUAAUGUAUUACCGAACAAGUAAAGAUACCUGCCGGUAACGAGAUUGAACUAGGUAUGAAGAUACCGACGAUCAAAUCUCGGGCAAGUAACAUACCGACAGACAAAGGGAAUAACGUAUAUUGUCAUAACGGUUCGACCGGUAAAGAUCUUCAUAGAAUAUGUAGGAGCCAAUACGGGCAUCCAGGUUCCGCUAUUGGUUAUUGACCGAAGAGGUGUCUCGGUCAUGUCUACAUAGUUCUCGAACCCGUAGGGUCCAAACACUUAACGUUCGAUGACGAUAUUGUAUUAUAUGAGUUAUGUUGACCGAAUGUUGUUCAGAGUCCCGGAUGAGAUCACAGACAUGACGAGGAGUCUCGAAAUGGUUGAGAAAUAAAGAUUGAUAUAUAGGACGAUAGUAUUCGGACACCGAAAGUGUUCUGGAGGGUACCGGGUACAUAUCGGGUCACCGGAAGGGGUUCCGGGCACCCCCGGCAAAAGAUAUGGGCCUAAUGGGCCAAGAGGGGAAACGCACCAGCCACCAAGGGCUGGUGCUGUGGGGAGACCCCAAGUAGGAUUGGGCCUACUUGGGAGCCUCCUUGGCUGCCUCCGUUCUCCCUCCCACCUAUAUAUAUAUGUGUGUGUGUGGGGGUGCCCCUAGCACACACGAGACAAUUGUUAGCCGUGUGCGGCGCCGCCCUCCACCGUUUACUCCCACGGUCAUAUCUUCGUAGUGGUUAGGCGAAGCCCUACGAGGAUCACUUCACCAUCACCGUCACCACGCCGUCGUGCUGACGAAACUCAUCUACUACCUCGACGUCUUGCUGGAUCAAGAAGGCGAGGGACGUCACCGAGCUGAACGUGUGCAGAACGUGGAGGUGUCGUGCGUUCGGUACUUGAUCGGUUGAAGCGUGAAGAAGUUCGACUACAUCAACCGCGUUGAGAAACGCUUCCGCUUACGAUCUACGAGGGUACGUAGACACACUCUCUCCCUCGUUGCUAUGCAUCUCCAUGGAUAGAUCAUUGCGUGUGUGUAGAUUUUUUUUGUUUUUCAUGCAAUGUUUCCCAACACUAACAUGCUGCUCCUACUCCAAAAAGAGACAUUAACUUCACCAAUUUGGUUGAUGAAGCACAAUUCUUUGUCCAACCUUCCCAGUGGCGGAGACAUCCCCAGGCAGUCCGGGCCGUUGCUUGAGGCACAGUUCAUUCGUUAUAUGUAGCUAGAGUACUACGUAAAUGAAGGCGGUUUGUGCCUUGAUCCAAUGCUAAUGCCGCCACUGAGCCUUCCUAGGCACUUUAUUCAGCCCAAGGAUAGAGCAAGAUGCGACUUCCCUUCAUUCUCCAAUAAGCUACCCACAAGAUAAUAUAGGCCAUUCGUUCCUCCUAAUCGAAUGGUUAAUAUUGACUGGUACUCCACUUUUUUUGAACACAUUAUAGAUACUUCACUUCUAGUGUUAGAGAGUACCACAACUAAAUAUAAUGGAGUACCAUGACCAAAAUGUUAAAAUGGUAAUUCGGAAUAUAUGUCUCUGUGUAUAUUUUUCAAUGGCCAUGGUGGCGUCUAAUUUCCUAAACCCUAGAUUCACGUUGAAAGGAUCGAUAUAGUUGACUAGAGGGGGGGGGGGGUGAAUAGGGAACUAAUUUUUUAGCUUUUCUUUACCAAUUUAAACUUUGCAUCAAAGUAGGUUGCCUAGAUAUGCAACUAGGUGAGCAACCUAUAUGAUGCAACAACAACAAGCACACAAGCAAGCAAGGGAUACAACACAAUAUAAGCUUGCACAAGUAAAGGUAAGAGAUAACCAAAAGUGGAGCCGGUGGAGAUGAGGAUGUGUUACCGAAGUCCCUUCCCUUUGAGGGAAGUAAAUCUCCGUUGGAGCGGUGUAGAGGCACAAUGCUCCCCAAGAAGCCACUAGGGCCACCGUAUUCUCCUCACGCCCUCACACAAUGCGAGAUGCCGUGAUUCCACUAUUGGUGCCCUUGGAGGCGGAGAUCGAACCUUUACAAACAAGGUUGGGGCUAUCUCCACAACUCAAUUGGAGGCUCCCAACAAUACCACAGAGCUUCACCACAAUGGAAUGUGGCUCCGAGGUGUCCUCAACCAUCUAGGGUUCUCAAACACCCAAGAGUAACAAGAUCCGUGAAGGAUUAGUGGGGGGAAUCAAAUUUCUCUUGGUGGAAGUGUAGAUCCGGGCCUUCUCAAUCAAUCCCUAAAGAAUCAACAAGUUUGAUUGGCUAGGGAGAGAGAUCGGGCAAAAAUGAGCUUUGGAGCAACAAUGGAGCUUGGGGGAAAAAGAGGUAGGUCAACUUGGAGAAGAAGUCCUCCUUUUAUAGUGGGGGAUCCAAUCCAACCGUUACCCCCCUCUUCAGCCCGCACACAGCGGUACUACCGCAUAGACUGAGAGUAGAAGAAGUAGAGGGAGAACGAGAGAGAGAGAGAGGGGGUAUGGGCGACAUUAGUAGCGGUGGUAGCCGCGGUACUACCGCUCAUGUGCGGUACUACCGCUGCCACUGCCGCUACUACUGCCGCACAACCCGGCACGAGAAGAUACAUCCUCGAAUCAAGGCGGUAGCGUUGCCGAACCAGGACGGUACUGCCGCCUAUGCCCCGGAGCGGUACUACCGCUAUGGGAUAGCGAUACUGCCGCUUGAGGACCAUAGGCGGUACUACCGCUCUGGUGGCGGUACUACCGCUUUCUCCUCACAGUCUCCACUUCUGUUAAAACAACAAACUCCAAGGAGAGGAAAGGAGCUGGGGGUGCAACAAAGACGUGUACGUGUUGAUUCCACCAUGGCCUUUCCAUUGCGGACCCCCUCUUGAUAGUAUGGUGUCUCCUACGACUCAAGUCCACCAAACCAAAACGAAAGAGACUACACCGUCUUCACAUAAAGCUCCGAGUGGAAAGAAUCGUCUCAUGCCAAAGAAUGAAUCUCUAAAAUACUCAACGCACAUGAUUAGUCCGCAAAAGCAUUGUCAUCAAUCACCAAAACUACUUAGAGAGAGAUAUGCCCUAACAAUCUCCCCCUUUUUGGUGGAUUGAUGACAACACGGGAUUUGCACAAGGUAAUGACAUGAGAUUAAGCGAAUCCCAAAACUACAAAAUAUAGACGGUCUCCCCCCAGAUGUUUGCACUUAAAUAGAGGUGCCUUUGGAUUGCAAAGUGCACACAUUAGGAUCAACACCCCCCUAUAUCUUAUAGUCUGACAACAAUUGCAUCAAAGAUAAGACAUAUAUGAGCUAGGAUGCAAUAGAGAGGCAAGUGACCAAAGUAGACAUAUGAGAUAAGCAUGAACUCACAAACUACUAAAGUAAUUGACAUACAAGAUAAUAAUAAGAUAGGGUAGCAUAUGUCUCACACCAUAUGAUAGGGUACCGGGUCUCACGAGCACAAACCAAACCAAAGCAAAUAACAGAGUUUGCGAGAGAGAGAAGACCAGGAAAAUAAGACACUCACAACUCGACAACGACAAUCCCUAAACUCUCUACCCCUUUGGCAUCGGGACACCAAAAAGGGCACAGAGUGCUGCUACGGCCACAAGUGAUAGCAGAACUGAAGAACUCCAGCAUCACAUCCCCGCGUGAUCGUCUGCUCCUCCGUCAUCCGCAGGGGGCUGCUCAGUGUCAUGAUGGUGGGCAGUGCUGCUGAACUCACUCCUCCUCAUCUGUGAUCUUGCCCUCAGGACCGCUGGCAACUGUUGAAUCUAACUGACGCAUGAGCUCCUUGUGAUGGCUCCUGGCCUUCUUCUCAAACACGUGAGCCAUGUACUGUUGAUAACCCACAAGUAUAGGGGAUCGCAAUAGUUUUCGAGGGUAGAGUAUUCAACCCAAAUUUAUAGAUUCGACAAAAGGGGAGCCAAAGAAUAUUUGAAGGUAUUAGCAGCUGAGUUGUCAAUUCAACCACACCUGGAGAUUAACUAUCUGCAGCAAAGUGAUCAGUAGCAAAGUAGUUUGAUAGUUUUGAUAAUAGUAACAGUAGCAACAGUAAUGGUAACAGUGAUAGCAGUAAUUUUAUAGCAAGUGUAACAGUGAUGAUAGCAGUAGUAACUUAGCAGAAACAAUAUAAGAUAAAUUCGUAGGCAUUAGAUCGGUGACUUGUUGGAUGAUAUUCCUCAUGAGACAGUUAUAACCCAGGGCGCUACGACACUAGCUCCAGUUCAUCAAUAUAAUGUAGGCAUGUAUUCCGUAAAUAGUCAUACGUGCUUAUGGAAAGAACUUGCAUGACAUCUUUUGUCCUACCCUCCCGUGGCAGCGGGGUCCAUAUUGGGAACUAAGGGAUAUUAAGGCCUCCUUUUAAUAGAGAACCGGAACAAAGCAUUAACACAUAGUGAAUACAUGAACUCCUCAAACUACGGUCAUCACCAGAAGAAGUCCCGGUUUCUGUCACUCCGGGGUUACCGGAUCAUAACACAUAGUAGGUGACUAUAACUUGCAAGAUCGGAUCUAAAACAUGGAUAUAAUUAUGAUAACAUAAACGGUUCAGAUCUGAGUUCAUGGCACCCGGGCCCAAAGUGAUAAGCAUUAAGCCUGGCAAAGUCAUAGCAACAUCAAUCUUAGAACAAAGUGGAUACUAGGGAUCAAGCCCUAACAAAACUAACUCAAUUACAUGAUGAAUCUCAUCCAACUCCUCACCAACCAGCGAGCCUACGAAAGAAUUACUCGCUCCCGGUGGGGAGCAUCAUGGAAUUGGCGAUGGAGAAGGGUUGGUGAUGAUGAAGAACGAAGAUCCCCCUCUCGGAAGCCCCAAACGGACUCCAAAUCUGGCCUCCCGGUGAAGAAAAGGAGGUGACGGCGGCUCUGUCUCGUGGAUCGUGAUAAUUCUUUCUCCCUGAUUUUUUCUGGAAAAAUGGGAUUUUAUAGAAUCGGUUUCAGGGUCUGUGGGGCCACCAGGUGGGGACAACCCACCUGGUCGCGCCAGGAGAGGGGGCGCACCCUGGUGGGUUGUGCCCACCCAGGGGCCCCUCUCCGGUAGGUCUUGGCUCCAGAAAUUCUUAUUUAUUAUAUAAAAAUUCCUCGCGAAGUUUCGUUCCAUUCCGAGAACUUUUAUUUCUGCACAAAAACAACACCAUGGUAGUUCUGCUGAAAACAACGUCAAUCCGGGGUUAGUUUCAUUCAAAUCAUGCAAAUUCGAGUCCAAAACAAGAGGAAAAGCGUUAGCAAAAGUAGAUACGUUGGAGACGUAUCAACUCCCCCAAGCUUAAACCUUUGCUUGUCCUCAAGCAAUUUAGUUGAUAAACUGAAAGUGAAAAAGAAAAACUUUUACGAACUCUUUUGCUCUUGUUUGCAUAAAUAAGCUUAAACAGCACCCAGGUUUUCAGCCAACAUUAUAACUAACCAUGCCGACAAUAACUCUUAAAAAUUAUAUUAACUCAUAUCAAUGACAUAAUCAGCUAGCGAGCAAUAACAAGAUAUCUCAAACAGCAACACGUUGUCAAAACAACCAUGAUAUAAUAUGACAAUAGUGGUUUCUCGCUAGCCCUUUCUGAAACCGCAAAAGAUAAAUGCAGAGCACCUCCAAAGUUCAAGUGGCGACUAAACAUUAUAAUUCAUGGUAGAAAAGAUCCAGUCAUGAUGCACCCAACAUUAGCUACACACAAUGCAUAAGUCAUGACAGCUGUGCUCUUAGGUUCUAGCGCUUGUUUUAGGAGGUGAUGACACAAUAUAAAAGUAAAUAGAUAGUCCCUUCGCAGAGGGAAGCAGUGAUUUGCAGAGGUGCCAGAGCUCAAGUUUUUAGAACAGAGGUAAAUGAUAUUUUGGGACAGGCACCCUUCUCAUUCACUUCACGACCACCAGUUAUCAAUAUCUCCCAUGCUAAGCAUGCUAGUGGCGGUUCCCAAGCGAUAAAAGUAAAGGUUUUGACUCCACUGGGAGUUUUUGUUUGAUUAUUUAAGAGAUUAACUCUUUUUCAGUUUGCAGUUUGGGACUGGGCAUCCCUAUUACCGCCCUUUUCUCGUGCGAUGGCGAGUGAAUAAACACUCGACCUGAGAAUAACCCGCUUAGCAUGGAAGAUACCGACCACCUCCUGUCGUUCCAUGAACGAUCCAGGCACACAAAAAUGAUAUUUAUUUAGGAGUUUUUAGAGGUGGCACAUGCAAAUUUACUUAGGACGGUAGGGUAAUACCGUAUAUAGGUAGGUAUGGUGGACUCAUCUGGAAUAACUUUGGGUUCAAGGUUUUUGAUGUACAAGCAGAAUUCCCACUUAGUACAGGCGAAGGCUAGCAAUUAGAUUGAGAAGCGGCCAGCUAGAGAGCAACGACGAUCAUAACCAUGCAUCAUGCAUAAGUAACAUUGGACACUAGCAUGAGUAGGAUAUGAACACCAUGAACAUAAAUAUCAUAGAGGCUAUGUUGGUUUUGAUUCAACUACAUGCAUGAACAUGUGCCAAGUUAAGCCACUUGAACAUUCAGAGGAGGAUACCAUAUCAUCAUACUACAUCACAAUAAUUUUAACGCAAUGUUGAUAUCCAAGAUAAAUCAUUAUCCACUCCUAGCUACUUAUGGAUGGCAUGAGAAACUAUAAUCUCUAAUUGUCAUUGCAAACAUGUUUAAUCAUAAUGGGCUGAAUCAUGGAUACUAGGCUAAACAUAUUUACACAAACAGAACAAGUCGAGUUCAUACCAGUUUCUCUCUACCACAACCAGUUCAUCGAAUAUCGUCAUUAUUGCCUUUCACUUGCACGACCGAACGAUAUGAAAAUAAUAAUAGUGCAAGAGUGCCGUGGACUAAGAUGGAAUCUGCAAACAUUUUAUUCAACAGGAGAAGACAAGGUAAAAUGGGCUCUUUAUUAGAUUAACAUUUAUUCAUAUGAGAGCCACUCAACAUUUUCAUCGUGGUCUUCUCCUCGGUAAGACUCGAAUAAAAAGGAAAGAAAUUCAGAGAAACACACUUGAAAUAUUUUUGGAGUUUUUGGUUUUCUUGAACAAGGAAAUAAAAGGGAAAAGCAAAAACGAGAAAAACUAUUUACACGGGAAAGCUCCCAACAAGCAAAAGAAGAAUAAGGAAAUCUUUUUGGGUUUUCUUUUUAAUAUUACUACUAAGCAUGCAAAGAAAGUAAACUACUACAACUAAUUUUUUUGUUUUUCUAAAGUUUUUCAAACACAAGAAGAAAGCAAGAAAAUAAAUCUAAACAUGGAUAAUACAAUGAAAAAGUGUAAACACCGACAAAUGAAAGUAAGUGGACAUGAAUGUAAUGUCGGUGAGAACACGUACUCCCCCAAGCUUAGGCUUUUGGCCUAACUUGGUAGUCGAUCAGUAGCCUGGAUGGUAGUAGGGGUGCUGAGGAGCGGGCAUCCACUCAUCCCACUACUGAGGCUCCUCCUCUGCCUCUGCAGAAGCCUGAGCGUUCCGGUAGGCGAUGAUGUCCGCAUGCAUAAUCCUAUAUCCGCCCCUGGCAACAGAAUCAAGCAAAGCAGGUGUAGGCAAUGGAAUAAUAUCAUGAGUUUUAACGCUAAAAACCAGGUUAUAAGGAAUAGGGAUAUUAGGAUAGUCUCAUGCAAGAAAAUGAUGGUGUUCCAUGGCCGCGCGGUCUAAGUAAACCUUGGUCAGAGGGUAAUCAUGAGGGCGUAUCUCAACAUUAAAGUGGGCCGCCAACUGAGUAGCAAAAAUCCCACCAUGUAUUUUACCCUGGGAUUUAUUAAGAUGGAGGCGACGAGCCACAAUAGCUCCCAAGCUAUAAGUGUCGUCGCCCUCUAAUGCACGACGUAAAACAGCAAAGUCUGGUGCACUGAGCGCACCUACUUUCUCUCUAGCAACCAAACACUUAGCAACAAAUAAAGCAAAAUAAUGUACGGCAGGAAAGUGUAUGCUAGCGGCAGUGGUAGCUGACACCCCUCUCUCAUCUCCCACUGUCAAAGUGCGAUAAAAGACCUCAAACCCAGCCGGCAUAGGCUCGGCUAAGCUGCCAUCAGAAGGGAUCAUGCAUAUGUCACAAAAUUCAGUAAGUGGUAUCUGAUGGUUUUCAGCAUAUAAAUCAAAGUUCACUUCACGAGGAUUAUUCCUAGGCAGGAAAGUAAAACUGUGAACAAAGAUGUUUGUGAGGAUUUGAUGCUGGUCACACUCAUCUGGAAGUCGAGGUUGGCAUUAGCAACAUAUUGUGUGAACUCUUGAAGGAUUCCAGCCUCUUCCAGGAAUGGGGUAUGCGGCCAUUCACACGGCCGUACUUCCGCCAAUCUCCGAGGAUGGAGAUCACUAUCAGAUGAUUCCCCAAUAACACCCUUGGAGUUCUUCUUAGAGCCAAACUUCCUAAAAAUAUUCAUGGUUUUCCUAUGAACAAAAUUCUGAAAUUUGUUAGCCCACAAAAUUUUCUCAACAAAACUUCACAAAAAUGAUACCAACUACUCAUAGGGAUACAUAGAGGCCAUGGCAACCAUUCAAACUACUUAGAACUCUAAUAAUUCAACAUGCAAGCUCAUCUGCAGCAGCGCCAAGAGUGGCUAAUUAUUCAAAAUAUAAACCACUAAAAAAACUAAUUGGACAAACAGUGGAGUCACAUACCAAGCAACAAUCCCCCGAAACAGUUUCAGAAGCGGAGCUUCGAGCAAAGAGAUCGAAAUUCACGGGUUUGAGAGCAAGAACACGGGAGAGAGAGCAAUGGAGAUUUUUUCUAGAGGUAAGUGAUGAUGUGGGAUGAAGAGGUAAGUGAGGGGGGCCACGUGGGGACCACAACCUACCAGGGCGCUCCUGGGGGUCCUGGCGUGCCCAGGUGGGUUGUGCCCACCUGGUGCACCUCCCUCUGAUAUUAUUUGCUCCAGAAAUUCAGAAAUAUUCAGAAAAAAUCGUAUUAAAUUUUCAGAGCAUUCUGAGACCUUUUAUUUUUUGGUUAUUUUUCUAUUGCAUGGGAAAUUCAGAAAACAGACAAAACAUGGCAUUUUAUUUUAUUUAACUAAUAAAAAUAGAGAAUAAAAAGUAAGGACAGAAGGUAGUGCUUACUAAAUUCAUCAACUUCAUACCGCUCAAAAAUAUCCAUUAAUAAGGUUGAUCAAGUCUUAUUAACAACCACUUUCGAUUAGCAUGAAACCAAAGAACUUUCAUAAAUCACUAAGUUACCUAAAUGGGGAUAUGAAUGUCCCCAACAAUAAGCAUUUCAUAUUUAUUUUUGGCAGUAGGUAGAGGUAUUUGAAAACUUCCAAUAGUGAUUGUCGGAGAUUUUUAAAUAACAUUAAUACCAUUCACUUGGAAUUGUUUCUUCGGAAAGUGCACCGUAUGCUCAUUACCAUUGAUAUGAAAAGUGACCUUGCUUUUAUUGCAAUCAAUAACAGCCCCUGCUGUGUUCAAGAAGGGUCUACCAAGGAUAAUCGACAUGUUGUCGUCCUCGGGCAUCUCAAGUAUAACAAAGUCAGUCAAAAUAGUAACAUUAGCAACAACAACGGGCACAUCCUCAUAGAUACCGAUAGGUAUGGCAAUUGAUUUGCCAGCCAUUUGCAAAGAUAUUUCAGUAGGUGUGAGCUUAUUCAAGUCAAGUCUUUUAUAUAAAGAGAAAGGCAUAACACUAACACCAGCUCCUAUCACACAAAGCAUUUUUCACAUAAUUCUUUUUGAUAGAGCAAGGUAUAGUUCGUAUUCCCGGAUCUCCAAGUUUUUUAGGUGCUCCAUCUUUGAAAGUAUAAUUAGCAAGCAUAGUGGAGAUUUCAGCUUCCGGUAUUUUUCUCUUAUUUGUGAUGAUGCCUUUCAUAUACUUUGCAUAUGGAGGCAUUUUCAAGAUAUCAGUCAAGCGAGUACGCAAAAAGACUGGCCUCAGCAUUUCAGCAAAGCGUUCAAAAUCUUCAUCAUCUUUCUUUUUGUUGACUUGGGUGGAAAAGGCAUAGGUUUUUGAACCCACGGUUCUCUUUCUUUAUCGUGCUUUCUAGCAAUGAAGUCUCUUUUAUCAUACCUUUUAUUCUUAGGUUGUGGGUUAUCAAGAUCAACAGGUGGUUCUAUCUCAACAUCAUUAUCUGGUUCUCCUUCAUUAUUUGGUUGGGUAUCUUCAUGAACAUCAGCAUUAUCUUUUUUCAUUAUCACUAGGUAGAUGUUCAUUACUAGAUUGAGUUUCAGCAUCUGAGAUAGAAGUUUCAUUUUCAUUAUCAGGAGGUUUCUCUAUUUCAGGUUCACUAGAAGCAUGCAAUGUCCUAUCAUUUUUCUUCUUCUUUUUCUUUUUAGAAGGACUAGGUGCACUAAUGUUAUUUCUUUGUGAGUCUUGUUCAAUACUUUUUGGGUGUCCCUCAGGAUAAAGUGGUUCCUGAGUCAUUUUACCUCCUCUAGUUGCAACUCUAACAACAAAGUCAUGUAUAUUAUUAUUCAUUUCAUCAAGUAAUUCCCUUUGUUAUUUAGCAACUUGUUCUAACUGAGUUUUCCAACACCUCUAACAUCAUUUGAGAUUCUAAAUAACAAGUCACUUAAGAGAGCAAUCAUAUCAUAAUUGUAUUUCAAUUGUUUCAUAACAUUUGCAUUGAAGUGAUCUUGCUUUCUAAUGUAAUUAUCAAACUCAUAAAGGCAUUGACUAGGGUGCAUAUUGUGAGGAUUAUCAUUAUCAUUGAACUUCAUUAAAGAAUUUACCUCUACCACCUUAGGCAGUGGUGGUGUAUUAAGCCCAUGUAUUUCUUCAAUAGGAGGUAAAAUUUUAACAUCCUGAGCUUUAAUACCUUUUUCCUUCAUAGAUUUCUUUGCCUCUUGAAUAUCCACGGGACUGAGAUAUAAUAUACCCCUCUUCUUCGGAGUGGGUUUAGCCGGUGGUUCAGGAAGAGUCCAAUCAUCAUAAUUUUUCAAUAUGUUAUUCAAUAAUUCUUCAGCUUGUCCAACAGUUCUUUCCCUGAAAACACAACCAGCACAACUAUAUAGGAAUCCCUAGAAGCAUCGGUUAGUCCAUUAUAGAAGAUAUCAAGUAUUUCAUUUUUCUUGAGAGGAUGAUCAGGCAAAGCACUAAGUAACUAGCAAAGCCUCCCCCAAGCUUGUGGGAGACUCUCUUCUUUAGUUUGCACAAAGUUAAAUAUUUCCUGUAAGGCAGCUUGUUUCUUAUGAGCAGGAAAAUAUUUUUCAGAGAAGUAAUAAAUCAUAUCCUGGGGACUACGCACACAACUAGGAGCAAGAGUAUUAUACCAAGCUUUAGCAUCACCCUUUAAUGAGAACGGGAAUAAUUUGAGAAUAAAUUAAUAGUGAGUCUUCUCAUCAUGAGUAAAAAGGGUGGCUAUGUCAUUCAACUUAGUAAGAUGUGCCACAACAGUUUCAGUUUCAUAACCAUGGAAAGGAUCAGAUUCAACCAAAGUAAUUAACUCUGGGUCGACAGAGAAUUCAUAAUCCCUAUCAUCAAUAAAGAUAGGUGAGGUAGCAAACUUAGGAUCAUAUUUCAUUCUAGCAUUCUGUAACACCCCGGUGUAAUGAUGCUACAGUAACCCCUGAGAUCAAGCUAAUCAUUUUGCUAUAACACCGCUUAGUCACUUUGAUCAAUAUUCCAUUUCAAAUUCCAGUUGAAUUCAAUUUCAAAUUCUGAGUGAAAUUCAAAAUUACUCAAACAAGAAAACUAAAAUGUUCAUCAUGUGCCCAAUAAUUCUUUGAAAUUGUUUUGGCCAGUGGCAUAUUUUUGCAAAGUUAAUUGUGGCUAAAAGAAAAUGCAAAAGCUGCAAAAAGGAGAGGGGAAAAUCAAAAGGAAAAAGAAAAGGAAAGAAGAAGGGGUGGGAGAGCCCCUGGCCUUCCCUUGGGCUCGGCCCAUCCCAGCAGGCCAGCCCACCUACCUUUCCCCGGUCCUGUUCCCCUCCCCCUGUUCAAUCGACCGAGGGCGCGCGCCCGCACGUCGCCGCCGGACCAGCUUGUCGUCCCCAUCGCCGAGAUGAUAAGGUCGCCGCCCCCGGACGCCUCGAGUCCUCCCCCUCACCUACCGCCACUCCCGCUUCUCCUUCCCCCUGGCUCUACCCCACCCACUCUCCCCUUCUCUCUCUCUCCCUCUCCUUCGUUUUGGAGAGGAGGCCGACGAGGUUGCUGCCGUGCCACGCUAGUCUCCGCGGCAACAACCACCGCAUCGCUUCGUCGACGCGUCUGUCGUCUUCAUCAUCGUCUUCCUCGACGUCUGGUGGUCGCAGCUGGAGCCUGGAGGCACUACAGCACCGGGAAUCCGCUGUUCCCCAUCUCUGAUCGCCGCCGCCUCCUUCGUCUCCGACGCCACCUCUGCAGCUCCUAAACCAUCACGGGCCUACGUGUGAGCCGCGCAGUGAGCUUCUCCGUCCCUUGCUCCUCUUCGUUGACCCCUCGCGCACUGUAGCUACCUCAUCACUGUUGCCGUGAGCCCAUGGCCACGGAUCGCCUCGCUGCCGUGGUCAUAGCCCCUGUCGCGCUCACCUGGGCACGGCAUCGAGCUCCUGGCGCUCCCAUGAGCCCAACGAGCUCAAGUCAGUGCCUACCCGUGCCUCCUAGCAUAGUUUCCGUUGAGGACCCGAUCGCGCUGCCACCGUAGCUCGUCGCCGUCCACUUUUCCGUCCGGUUCCGGCGAAACCACCACCACCACUAGACGCGACACUCGCUGCUCGUUCGAACGUGCCCAAGCGCGCGCGAAACUACCCACCGUAGAUGAAACCGGCGCGUUCCGGCGACGCGCCGCCGCAUUUUGGGUCACCGGAGCAACUCCGGCGCCGGCCGCCGACGUGGCUAGGCAGGCCCCACCCUUGGGUCACGGCCAGUGGGCCAUGGGGGCCCCGUUGACUGGGUUGACCCAGUCAACGUGCUGACUGGGCAGCCCAGUACCACUAACAUGCAGGCCCCAUCGCAUAAUUAAGCUAAUUAAAAUGUUUUUUAUAAUUAAAAGUAAUUAGUAAUCUAAUCUGCCACUGACAUGUGGGGCCCAGCUGUUAAUUAACCUCAUUUUAGUUAGUUUAAACUUCUGUUAGUCCAUUGUCUAUGAGAGGUGGGACCCACUGGUCAGUUUGACCUGGUCAGCCGUCCUGUUGAAUGCUGACGUCACAAUGAUGUCAUGCUGACUUAGUAAUUCUUUUCUGUCAAUUUAAUUAAUUCUAGAAAAUGUUUAAUCUUUGAAAAUUCAUAGAAAAUAAACCGUAGCUCGGAUCGAAAAACUUUCUACAUGAAAGUUGCUCAAAAAAUCCAAUGAAUCCGAAUACGCGGUCUGUUCAUCUGUCACAUGCCCCUAGCAUGUUGAACAUGGAACAUUCCCCCUCCGGUCAUCUGUUUGACACAUGUCCAGAACCGGGAAAACAUUCCCGGUUGUUUUCCCCUUCCCCUUUUUCGUGCAGCACUACGUUAGGUCGACCCUAGUUCUGCAUAUCGUCAUGUCAUGCUUACUGUUGCAUCUUGUUUGCUCUGUAUUUACUGUUUAUUCCCCCUCUUCCCUCCGGUAGACCCCGAGACUGAUGCUGCCCUUGGGAUCGACUACGUCGACGACGACCCUUCUUCCCUUUCAGCAGAGCUUCCAGGCAAGUCCCCCUUUGAUCAUCCCGAUAUCACCCAUUCCAUUCUCUCAUGCUUGCAUUAGAUUUUGCUACUGUAAUUGAUUGCUCCUAUUCUGAUGCAUAGCCUGCUUUUGUAACCUGCUUAUUGUUACCUACCUACUUAUCCUGAACUGCUUAGUAUAGGUUGGUUGGUGAUCCAUCAGCGACUCCCACCUUGUCCUUGUUACCCCUGCUUCAUCAUUCAAGACCCGAUCAACGGGAUCGAAGACCAGGCCCCGGUGAUACGUCUCCAACGUAUCUAUAAUUUUUGAUUGUUCCAUGCUAUUAUAUUAUCUGUUUUGGAUGUUUAAUGGGCUAUAAUAUGCUCUUUUAUAUUAUUUUUGGGACUAACCUAUUAAUCGGAGGCCCAGUGCCAGUAUUUGUUUUUUUGCCUAUUUCAGUGUUUCGCAGAAAAGGAAUAUCAAACGGAAUCCAAACGGAAAGAAACCUUCGCGAGGAUCUUUCUUGGAACAAACGCAAUCCAGGAGACUUGGAGUGGAAGUCAGAGACACAACGAGGCGUCCACGACGCAGGAGGGCACGCCCAGGGGGGUAGGUGUGCCCCCACCCUCGUGGGCCCCUCGUAGCUCCACCGACGUACUUCUUUCGCCUAUAUAUACUCUUAUACCCUAAAAACAUCCGGGGGAGCCACGAAACCACUUUUCCACCGCCGCAACCUUCUGUACCCAUGAGAUCCCAUCUGGGGCCUUUUCCGGCAAUCUGCCGGAGGGGGAUUUGAUCACGGAGGGCUUCUACAUCAACACCAUAGCCUCUCCGAUGAUGUGUGAGUAGUUUACCACAGACCUUUGGGUCCAUAGUUAUUAGCUAGAUGGCUUCUCUCUCUUUGGUUCUCAAUACAAAGUUCUCCUUGAUGUUCUUGGAGAUCUAUUCGAUGUAAUAUUCUUUUGCGGUGUGUUUGUCGAGAUCCGAUGAAUUGUGGGUUUAUGAUCAAGAUUAUGUAUGAACAAUAUUUGGUUCUUAUCUGAAUUCUUAUAUGCAUGAUUUGUUAUCUUUGCAAGUCUCUUUGAAUUAUCGGCUUAGUUUGGCCUACUAGAUUGAUCUUUCUUGCAAUGGGAGAAGUGCUUAGCUUUGGGUUCAAUCUUGCGGUGUCCUUUCCCAGUGACAGUAGGGGCAGCAAGGCAUGUAUUGUAUUGUUGCCAUCGAGGAUAAAAAGAUGGGGUUUAUAUCAUAUUGCUUGAGUUUAUCCCUCUACAUCAUGUCAUCUUGCCUAAUGCGUUACUCUGUUCUUAUGAACUUAAUACUCUAGAUGCAUGCUGGAUAGCGGUCGAUGUGUGGAGUAAUAGUAGUAGAUGCAGAAUUGUUUCGGUCUACUUGACAUGGACGUGAUGCCUAUAUUCAUGAUCAUGCCUAGAUACUCUCAUAACUAUGCGCUUUUCUAUCAAUUGCUUGGCAGUAAUUUGUUCACCCACCGUAAUAUAUGCUAUCUUGAGAGAAGCCAUUAGUGAAACCUAUGGCCCUCGGGGUCUAUUUUAUAUCAUAUAAGUUUCCGAUCUAUAAUUCUAGUUCACUAUUUAUUUUACUUUGCAAUCUUUACUUUCCAAUCUAUACAACAAAAAUACCAAAAAUAUUUAUCUUACUAUCUUUAUCAGAUCUCACUUUUGCAAGUGCCCGUGAAGGAAUUGACAACCCCUUUAUCGCGUUGGUUGCAAGGUUCUUGAUUGUUUGUGCAGGUACUAGGCGACUUGCGUGUAAUCUCCUACUGGAUUGAUACCUUGGUUCUCAAAAGUUGAGGGAAAUACUUAUGCUACUUUGCUGCAUCACCCUUUCCUCUUCAAGGGAAAACCAACGCAUGCUCAAGAGGUAGCAAGAAGGAUUUCUGGUGCCGUUGCCGGGGAGAUUUGCACCAAGUCAAGUCAAGAUUUGAUCUCCCGUCAACUAGCCAUUUCUGGCGCCGUUGCCGGGGAGAUCUACGCUCAAGUCAAGGCAUACUAAGUACCCAUCAUAAACUCUUCUCCCUCGCAUUACAUUAUUUGCCAUUCACCUCUCGUUUUCCUCUCCCCCACUUCUAAAACAAUUUUUGAAAACCUUUGCCUUUUCUUCGCCUUCUUACCGUAUGUCUUUUUAUUUGUGUUUCCACGUGCCUUCUAUUUGCUUGCAUCUUUGCUUGCUAAAAAUCUAUUGAUAUGGAUCCACUUAGAGUGUUCUACUUGGAUCAUCUUCGAUCCUUAUGCGCUCGUGCUGAAACCCCAACUAGUCUAGUUGAUGGGAAACCUUUAGAUGAGCGUGCUCAUUUUGUGCGUCACCGUUUGUCUGAAAAAGGGAGACUCUUAUGGGAUCAAAUAAACAGAUUGCUGUGUUAUGCUUGGAAUUUUUGUGAAAUUUAUGAUUUUACUUGUUGCUCUAAGAACCCUAAAAAACACCUUCCCUUCCUAUGUGAGUUUAAUGAUAAUGAAAUCUUAUAUUCUUAUGCAAAGGGUGUUUAUAGUUACUAUGAUAUCGAACAAAUUGAAGAAUUUGUUGCUUUUAAGGGUGCUUAUGAAGUUGCUUCUUUGAUUGAAAAGUUUGAUAUUACUUUCUACGAAUCUGAAAAUUUUGACAUACUUAAAUAUUGUUAUGAAAACUAUGCUCAUAAUGUCUAUGUCAAAGAAUUUAUUGAGAGAAUGACCGUUGCUUUGGAAGAAAAUAAUGAUAUGCAUGAAUCUAUAGAUAAUGAUGAUUAUGAUGAUUUGAUUGAAAUUUCCCUUGAUGUACAUGAUGCUUGCUAUUCUUGUGGCCAUGAUGCCAAUAUUUUUGAAGACGAAUUUGCUAUAGUUCCUUAUGUUAAACAUGAGAUCGUUGGUAUCGCGCCCAUACUUGAUAGUUCCUUUUAUGAAAAGCAUGAUUGCAAUAAUGUUAUUAUAAAUUCUAUUGAUGUCAAUUGUGUUAAUGAUAUGCAAAACCUCAAGCUUGGGGAUGCUAGUUUUGCUAUGACUACUACUUGUUGCAAUGAUCAUGAUUGGGGUGAUUCUUCUUAUGAUCUUGAAAAUUUAUUUAAGCCCCAUGAUGAAUAUGAGAUUGAUAAUAGUGUUUGCAAUAAUAUUGAAAGCGGGUUUGGAAGAGUGUCAACUUUAUAUCCCACAUAUUUGGAGAAUGUUCAAUCUUAUGGUAUUUUUGAUAAAAGUGGGUUUGGAGAGGUCAUGACUUUAGUUAAUGAUAAUCCCACUAUUUUGGAAGAGUGUCAACUUCGCAUGCAUGUGGAUUGUGUUGAGAAUAUGUUAUUUGAUAGCUAUUUUGUUGAAUUUGCUGAUGAUCCUACAUGUAAUUAUUAUGAGAGAGGAAAUUAUGGUUGUAAAGUUUUUUAUCUUACUAAAUUACCUCUCGUCAUGUUGAGAUUGCUAUCGUCUCUUUCUUCUUCCUUGCAUAUGCUAAUUUUUGCUUGGUAUGAUAAUUUGUUUGCUUAUAAAAUGCCUAUGCAUAGGAAGUAUGUUAGACUUAGAUGUGUUUAUCACGUGUUCUAUGAUGCUAUCUUUGUGCUUUAAUUCUUGUCUUUGAUGUGAGCAUCAUUAACAUUAUCAAUUCCUAGCUAGGGGCGUUAAACGAUAGCGCUUGUUGGGAGGCAACCCAAUUUUAUUUUUGUUUUUUGCUUUUUGUUCCUGUUUAGUAAUAAAUAAUUCAUCUACCCUCUGGUUAGAUGUGGUUUUAUGUUUUAAUUAGUGUUUGUGCCAAGUAGAACCUUUGGGAAGACAUGGGUGAAGUCUUUGCGAUCUUGCUGUAAAAAACACAAACUUUUGCGCUCACGAGAUUAGCUGUCAUUUUUUACUGGAAAGUGAUUUUAGGUUGAUUAUUUUUGCAGAUGAUUAAUAGAAAAAUUCCUCACGUCCAAAAAUUUAUUUCAAAAAAUUUGGUGUUACAGAAGUAUUCGUAUGAAUCAGAUUGCUACAGACUGUUCUGUUUUGACAGAUUCUGUUUUUCAUGUGUUGUUUGCUUAUUUUAAUGAAUCUAUGAGUAGUAUCGGGGGGUAUGAACCAUAGAGAAGUUGGAAUACAGUAGGUUUAACACCAAUAUAAAUAAAUAAUGAGUUCAUUACAGUACCUUAAAGUGGCGGUUUGUUUUCUUUUACUAACGGAGCUCAUAAGAUUUUCUGUUAAGUUUUGUGUUGUGAAGUUUUCAAGUUUUUGGGUAAAGAUUUGAUGGAUUUUGGAAUAAGGAGUGGCAAGAGCCUAAGAUUGGGGAUUCCCAAGGCACCCCAAGGUAAAAUUCAAGUACAACCAAGUGCCUAAGCUUGGGGAUGCCCCGGAAGGCAUCCCCUCUUUCGUCUUCGUCUAUCGGUAACUUUACUUGAGGCUAUGUUUUUAUUCACCACAUGAUAUGUGUUUUGCUUGGAGCGUCUUGUAUGAUUUGAGUCUUUGCUUUUUAUUUUACCACAAUCAUCCUUGGUGUACAGACCUUUUGGGAGAGACACACAUGAAUCGGAAUUUAUGAGAAUACUCUAUGUGCUUCACUUAUAUUUUUUGAGCUAGAUAAUUUUGCUCUAGUGCUUCACUUAUUACAAAACAGUAAAACUGAGCUAGCUACAAGCCACCACAUCGAUUCAACGCUUUUGGCCGUCCGAUCAUUUGUUAGACGUCCCAGAUCUUCCAAUUAUCCACUGGCGGUCGCUUGGUCAUUUUCACCGUGCCUCACCCAAUGUAAAAGGGCUGUUGCUCUGGAAAGCAACCUGUGGGUCAUGUAGUUAAUUUGGCCCAGAAGCAGCCCAAUUGGGUGUGUACAUCAGCCCACGCUAGGUUCCCCUUCCACAUCAACAGAGAAAAGAAAAGAACAAUUCAUCCUUCUCCUCUUGUUCAUAUUACCCACGGCGCAGGGUGUCCAAUUUCGCAUGUUCCUUUCGUGCUAGGAAGCUCGUGGGGAUUGACCAACUGUCAGUUUGUUGGGGUUUGAUCUGUACCGAUGGGCGACGAACAUAUAGGUGACUGAAGGCGCGAGUAUGGCCUAUGGAUUAAAGGAACUGUUCCUUUCCCUCGGCGGCAACAUCCUGUAUGGCAGUACCUUUUCGCCUCCUUUUACCAGCCGUAUAAUUCAGUGAGUCAUUAGUAACUGGUUUGAUUGGUUGUUAGUAUUCCGGCACUGCCUUAUAUAUGGAUAUUCAUUGUUGAUAUGUCUUACAUGGUGUGAUCCCGAUCGACUCCAAUAAGGGCACCCAGGCUCAUGCAAAUGCUCAAAACAGCCCAGUAACGCCACCACUUGUUGAUCAAAACGUUGUCCUUCUGAGUACUGAUUAGGAUUACAUGCAACCUUCUUGCUGGAAAUACGCUUCUGAAAAAAGAUGCUAAACUGGCCUGAUAAGAUUGGCAUUAGGCUUUUGCCGUAGGAUCCUGGAACUAUGGAUUCUAGGAACAACACCUACCAGGUUACCUGAUGUAAUCCAUAUCCUUGCAUGAGGCCUGGAGUACGUGGUUUUUCAAUUUCUCUUGGACAGUUUUAGACGAGUUAGGUGUGUUCAAGGAUUAGCUUUGGUUUUCCCAUUUUACUCUCUAAGAAAGGUAACUGAAAUUUUGUUUCUGCUCAAUUUCAUUAGGUUGCAAGAAAAUGACUGCUUGAAAUUGCUUUCCUAAACAAAGUAAUAGAUGUACAAUAUUGAUCAAACAAAUGGGCAGCAAGUCAACAACGACCCAGUAGAGAUUUUAUUGUGCUGACUAGGGCCAAGUAUAUUAUCAAACCAUUGUUGGUAAGACGAUAAUUUACUAUGAUUCAGUUGGCAAAGAGGCUCUGAUCUGCAGUUUAAAUGACGAAGAAAUACUGGAACAUGGGGAAGAGAAGCAUUUUUCACAAAAGAAGAAGAUCCGCUAAUAUGGUAAUAAUACAUACCAGUUAAAUAGAUUGGUUUUUCUGUAUUACGUGCUCUUCUGUCGUGAGUUGCAAUUGAUUACCACAACAUGCUAUGUUUUCAUCCGUUCAAGUCUGAAGAAUGGGUACUAUCUAUCAGUCUAUAUCUUUGAUUUUUUUUCUAAUAUAUAAGUUAUAACUCCGCUAUACUGCCAAUUUCUUACAUGCUCAUAUGUAUGUUGUAUGGCGUUUAAUUUCUUUUUGGUGGUCCUUUCCCUCUUUGAAUUGAAUGCCAACAUAGCAGAACAUGUACUGCAUAAGGUUCAGCAGGCUGGGUCUAACAAGGUAAAUCAUUAUUUUCUAAAGACUCAUGCGGAAGUUUGCAGGAUUAUGCACACACAUUGUUUUGUUUCGUUGACCAUAGAACAUGAUUUGCUCUUUAUUUUCUCUCCUAUGCCUAAGGCUUUGAGCUCCUUCAAAAAUAUUACUAUAAUGAAAAGGAUGAGAAGUGAGUCCUUUAGACAUGGAACGCACAUUAGUUCUUUGAAGAUCAUUUUAUUUGGGAUGUCAAUAACAGUUCUACCAAUUUGCAUCAAUUGUUUAUAUGCUAUACAAACUAUCACUUGCCCCCAGGGAAGCUUUGCUGAUUUUCCAUCACAUUUAGGAAUCUUGCUAUACAAUCUAUGACUUACUGUUGUAUCGACACUCUAUUGUCAUUAAUUAGAUGCACGGAAUUUGUGAAUAUAUAAAUAUUCUGGCUGAAGAUAGAACCAACUUGUGAUGGUUCCAUGUGGUACAUAUAACUGAAAUUGGUCAGAUGUUUCUAUAUUUCUUUCAUUAAGACAUAUUUUUACCUUUGUUAAGAUGUGCCUAAGAUGGGCGGGCGCGGCAACGCGUGCCUUUAUGAUCUAGUAUCUUUUUAGAGAACGGUGGUGGUUUUAUUUUAUAGAAAUUAUUGAUAUCUCAUGCUUCACUUAUAUUAUUUUGGGAGUCUUUUAGAACAGCAUGGUAAUUUGCUUUGGCUAUAAAAUUAGUCCUAAUAUGAUAGGCAUCCAAGAUGGGUAUAAUAAAAACUUUCAUAUAAAGUGCAUUAAAUACUAUGAGAAGUUUGAUACUUGAUAAUUGUUUUGAGAUAUAAAGCUGGUAAUAUUAGAGUCAUGCUAGGUGAGUAAUUGUGAAAUUGAGAAAUACUUGUGUUGAGGUUUGCAAGUCCCGUAGCAUGCAUGUAUGGUAACCGUUGUGUGACAAAUUUGAAGCAUGAGGUGUUCCUUGACUGCCUUCCUUAUGAGUGGCGGUCGGGGACGAGCGAUGGUCUUUUCCUACCGAUCUACCCCCCUAGGAGCAUGCGCGUAGUGCUUGGUUUUGAUGACUUGUAGAUGGAGACUAUGAUUCCCCCACAAGUCGGGAUGAGACUCCGGACGAAACAUAAAAAUAAGAGGCCAUAAAAAAAAGAGAAGGCCGAAACAAAAAAAAAA